UAUAUCUUGAGCGGAUAAAGUCAUCAACCAAAUCAUUAAAUACAACCCAAGUGUCUUCUAUGUUUCGUUUUCCAAACAAAGGAAGGGUAGAUUAAUGGAACACUCUUGGAUUUUGGAAGUGGUUGAGUCCUCCUUUUGUUGGAACGGAGUAUGGAUCAAUCAUUGGUCCUACUUUGAUUUCCACGGUAAUCACUUAGGAAACUAUGCUCCAAACUGGGAAGAUACCUGCUGAUCGUCGAGUCAAAAACGCUGAUGUUGCUGCUGUUUCUGUUCCUUGUUCCUUCCUUUCGGAGUUCAACAACAAAAGCUUGUAUGUGUAAGAUAUCAUUUCCCAAAGUUGGUCAUGCGCGUCUAUACGCUGCUGAAAUUUGGAGAAGACAAUGAACAGUAACCGAGUUAAAUCCGCGAGUCAACAGAGUCAUAAAUCGGCGAGUCAACUCGGUCCAGGAUCGACGAUUCAACUCGCGAUUCGAACUGGUGGACCAGCUCGCGGUUCGGACUGGUGGAUCAUAUCGCGGUUCGGAUCGGUGGGUCAGCUCGCGGUUUCGACCAUUGGGUCAGCUCGCGGCCCAGAUUAGUGGGUCAACUCGCGGUCCAGACAUGCGGUUCAACUCGCGGUUCGGCCCUGGUUAUUUUUUCUCAUUUUUUUCUCUAUUUGUGGUUGUCGGA